rnacentral:lncRNA from 1 species
CAGUGUGUUGAAUGGAUACUACAAAACCAGAACAGUGAUGGAUCCUGGGGUCUCAGCCAAAUGGACUCCAUGGUGAACAAAGAUCUCCUCUCGUCCACGUUGGCCUGUGUGCUUGCACUAAAGAGAUGGAAUGUUGGAAGAGAGCAUAUCAGCAAAGGUAUGAACAAAGAUGAAUUUAAAUGUUAAUGUUGUUUUGAUCUCUUGGUUCUAAGUAUUGAAAUGUUUGAUGCAACAAAAAAUGAUACUGGCAGGACUAUGUUUUAUUAGAAGAAAUUUCUCAAUUGUCAUGGAUGAGCAGACUGUGGCUCCUAUAGGCUUCAACAUUACUUUUCCUGGUAUGCUUAGCCUUGCCAUCGGGAUGGGUUUGGAGUUUUCUGUUAGACAAGCUGAUGUUGAUGCGAUCCUUCAUCUCCAGGAGAUGGAACUCAAAAGGUUUGUGAGUGACAACUCUGGUAUCCGAAAUUUUGUUGUAUUUCCUUUCCGACCAAGUUUGUACUAAGGAAAAAUGGACUGGCCACAUGAAUGGAAAUUUAACUGUCUGCUUUUUUUCUUAUCUUUUCUUUUUUAUACAAGACGAAAGGCUGCUUCCUUUAAGAAGUUUGCUUAUUAAAAGUUUUUCCUGAGAACCAUAUUUUAAGGGGGAAAAGAGGUCACAUGUCAUUCAUAUUUGUCAUUUCCUUGCUGAUGAAAUUAGAUAUCAGAAUUUGAGUAUGACAUUAGACUUAAUUCAGAGUUGCGAGGACUAACUCUCAUGGGAAAGAAGCAUAUAUGGCUUAUGUUGCUGAAGGGCUAGGAAACCUGCAGAACUGGAAUGAAGUUAUGAAGUUCCAGAGGAAGAAUGGAUCGCUGUUCAACUCUCCUUCCACAACUGCUGCUGCAUUAAUCUACAUCUAUGAUGACAAAGCCCUCCAGUACCUAAAUUUGCUCGUCAAUAAAUUUGGUGGUUCAGGUGGAUCUCCGUACCUUUCCUUGCAAGAAUUUGCAAGGGUGUAGACUGUUGCUAAAUACCUAAUGACUUUGAGUUUUGCAGUACCAACAAUGUACCCAGCAAAUGCAUAUUGUCAGCUUUCAAUGGUGGAUUCUCUCGAAAAGAUUGGAAUAGCUCGGCAUUUUUCUAGAGAGAUAAAGAGCAUCCUGGAGAUAACAUACAGGUAGUUACCAUGUGUGAAAAGUUGAUAUUUGCCUUGUGUAGCUUCUAAACUUGACUGUAUCCACCUUGCAGUGCCUGGUUACAAAGAGAUGAGGAAAUCAUGCUGGACGUUGCAACAUGCGCAAUGGCAUUUCGUCUUCUACGGAUGAAUGGAUAUGAUGUUUCCUUGGGUACUUCAUUGGGAUGGAAAUCUGUCUUAUUAAUUUUAUCUUUGUUUCUUAAUAAUCAACUCACUAUUUUAAUCUGAUGCAGAUGAGCUCUGUCAUGUUGAUGAAGCCUCCAGUUUCCAUGAUUCACUUCAAGGAUACCUAGAUGAUACAAAAUCUAUAUUGGAGUUGUACAAGGCUUCAAAAGUCACUGUAUCAGAAAAUGAAUUUAUCCUAGAUAACAUUGGCAACUGGUCAGGCAGCUUAUUAACGGAAAAGUUGUCCUCUGACAGGGUGCCCAAGAGUAGCCCAAUCUUGGGAGAGGUGCUUGUGUGAAAUAUAAAAUUAAGAAAAUUCCAUUGAUCGUAGAUUUUAUUAGGUUUCAGAUCAUGUUUACCAUAUGCUUUGACAAUUUCAGGUGGAGCAUGCUCUUAAAUUUCCCUUUUAUGCCAUACCGGAACGUCUAGAUCACAAGAGGAACAUUGAACACUUUGAUGCUAGGGGUUCUCAGAUGUUAAAGACAGAACACUUGUAAGAGUCUCUUUUCUCAAAAAGUAAUCAGUGGAAUCAUAUGCAUAUAGAUGUGUACACAAAUUAAAACAUUUUUCUGAACCAGGCCGUGUUGUGUCAACCAAGAUUUACUGGCUUUGGCUGUUGAAGAUUUCACAUUUUCUCAAUUUAUUUACCAGGACGAACUCAUGCAUCUUGAAAGGUAAUCUUACGCUUAUGUUCUUUUGCUAUAUUAACUUCCUUUCUUAAAGAAUUUACAGAAUUUUGUUGCAACAGUUGGGUGAAAGAGAACAGGCUGGACCAGCUACAGUUUGCACGGCAGAAGUUGACGUACUGCUAUCUCUCUGCUGCUGCUACUGUAUUCCCUCCUGAACUGUCUGGUGCUCGCCUAUCAUGGGCCAAAAAUUCUGUACUCGUAACUGUUGCUGAUGAUUUCUUCGACGUUGGAGGGUCAAAAGAAGAACUAGAGAACCUUGUAGCACUUGUUGAGAAGUACGAUUCUUAAACAUGAUCUGUUUAUCUUCUACUACCUCUGUUCCCAUAUAUAAGACGUCCUAGAAAUUCAAUUUGAACACCAGAACAUCUUAUAUAUAGGAACAGAGGUAGUAUUUAUUAGCAUCACGGAUGGUUUCCUAGCCAUCCUGGGUUCGAAUAAUCCUUAUAUUCAGUCAAUAGAGAGGUAUGUGUGCAUGCAGCCCAUCAGGGUUCGACUCUGGUAGCUCAGCUGCUUAAUUAAAAGAUUAAUUAAAGAUGCUAAUACUAAUUCUCCCAUCUUUGGCCCUUCAUUUUAUUCAAGUGGUGAUGGUGUCUUGCAAAUUCCUAACACCAAUUUGCUAAUGUUUGUCUUUUAGGUGGGAUGAACACUUCGAAGAUGACUUCCACUCUGAGCAAGUAAAAAUAAUAUUUUAUGCUAUCUAUACUACAGUGAACCAGCUUGGAGCAAUGGCUACUGCAGUACAAAACCGUGACGUUAAAAACCACAUGAUAGAAUUAGUGAGUUCCGUGUGCGCUCGCCUGAUUCUGAAUUUUGUUGUUGUGUUCAGCAUUGACAUGUUUGAAUCCAUCUGCAGUGGCUACAGCUAUUGAGGUCUAUGAAGACCGAGGCAGAAUGGCGGAUGAGACGAUAUGUGCCAACGAUAGAAGAAUACACGGCAAAUGCAUUUGUGUCAUUCACACUGGGGCCAGUUGUGCUCAUAGCGUUCUAUCUUGUUGGGCCAAAGCUCUCGGGAUGCGCUGUUGAAGAUCAAGAUUACAAUGAGUUAUACAGGCUAACGAGCACCUGUGGUCGUCUCCUCAAUGACAUCCAAGGUUUUGAGGUAUUUGGGCUCCUUUGUGACUAAAAGUUUGUGUUUUCAAGAUUUAGCAUAGAUGUAUAAGCAUGUAGCGUUUAUUUUAGUAUGGCUUCACAUAACUCUGCACACAAAUUCAUCCAUCUUAAUAUAUACAAAUAUGCGGCGAGAUCUGAGGAACCAGAGUAAUCCUAUAGGACUAUAAAUCCUCACAAGUAUCCAGAUUUGAAAUUGUACUAUUUAGAGUUUAGAACAAUGGAAAUAACUCAAAUUAAUCUCAUGUUGGCUCGGGGAAGUUAGAGUGCAGGUAAUUAUUGUGUAUUCACUGCAAAUAUUUGAUAAGGGAGUAGUAAAUUACUUAUCACUGUCCUGCAGUUUAGAUCUUAAUUUAAGUUGUGAGUGAGCUAUCCUGACAGAUUUAUUCAUUUUGAUCUACUGUUGCAGAGGGAGAGCAGCGAGGGGAAACUGGAUAGUGUUUCACUACAUCUUGUCCACAGUGAUGGUUCUAUGUCCAUUGAAGCGGCUAAAGAGUCGAUAAGGAAGUCCAUAGCAUCUUGUAGGAAAAACCUGCUAAGGUUAGUCCUUAAGGAAGACAACGUUGUUCCUAGGCCAUGCAGGGAGCUGUUAUGGAAGAUGAGCCAGAUAUGCCACUUUUUCUACUCUCACACUGAUGCAUUUACCUCACCGAUCGAGAUGGUCAGCUCAGUGAACGCAGUUAUCCAUGAGCCACUCAGACUACAGAUAAACUAUCCGUCUUUGCCUGCACAAUCAGAAAAAUAAGCAUCGCAUGUAGCACCUCUGCUCCUAAAUAUAAGAUGUUCUAAUUUUGUCCUAAGUCAAACAUUUUAAAGUUUGACCAAAUUUUAUAAAAAAUAUACUAAUAUGUAUUAUAUCAAAUAAGUGUACGAACGGAGGGAGUAUUUACAACGUUCAUAAGGGUUAGCGGAACGGCUAUUCUCUUUAGAAAAUAUACCACAUGUAUGUGGCAGCAAAAACAGGUGCUUGUUGCUUUUUAGCGGCAAGGAUGGGAAGCUUCAUCCUGAAUGAAGAUCAGUCCCUUGUACGGAGUACAUCCUAUUUCGUGUGUGAAGGUCUCGACAUUGUACUUGUUGGUGGUGCAUUUUUAUAUCUUAAUGCAAUAUAUGCUCUAUUGCUCUAAGAUUAGAGCUGCAUCUGUCUGCGCGUCUUGCUUGCUCUGUGAUCAGUUAACAGUCGACCAGCACUGCCACAUCUUGUUCUGGGCUGUUUGCUGUAUUUAUUUCCUUCUGCAAUCCUAAUUAUCAUUUAUAAAAUCUGCGGAUUUCUCAGUUUGUUCUGUGCUGAAAGCAUUCAAGCUUGAUCAGACAGAGUGCGGCUUUCCUACUGCUUAAUUAAACAUGUAACACUCGGUUGUUUCUGGACACAAACAGAGAAAAAAAAACUUUCGGGAGUUCGUACAUACCUUCUCUUGAUUCGGAUGCUGCAGUCAGCUGCUCAAAAUUCGAGUUUGCCUGCAUAAUCAGAGAAAAAAAAAAUCAGGUUUUUGGACCUUAUUUGUGUUCUAGGAUUUGAGGGUAAGAGGGAGGGCCACCAUGGGAUAGAUGGGGAGGUGAAUCCAUGGGAGGGAGAGAGGGAGGGGGCGCCAUGGGAGAAGACAAAGGAGGAGCGCCAUAGCAGAGGGCACCAGAGAGAAGGGGAAUGGUGGGCGGUGCAGAGGGAGAGGCUUACCCAUCGAGACAAAAUAGAGAAGGGUGAGGCACGGAGCUUACCUUGCCGUUGUUGCUAAGGAUUCUCAGCCGGCUUGUCGCUCCCUGCUGCUGGUCGCCUUCUUCCGCCGCCGCUCGCAGAUGGUGGCGAAAAAGAAGCGGAGAGGGAAGAGAACAGUAGCAUGCCGUAAAAAAAAGUUCCUAAAAACGGAUAAGGUAAAACAAAAAAGGAGCGGACUGAACGUGCCACUGCCAAUACGUCCGCCUUUUCUUAUCGAUCCGUACGAUAAAAUCUGACAUAAAAAAACAAAAAAAAACAUAAACAUUAAACAUAAAAAAAAUUUAAUUAAGAGAUGGCCUCUUAUGCUUCAUAAGGACAAAAAAGAUAAGGCAAAUUCCCAUUUUUCUAGAUUCACCCUUCCUUAGCACUUACUAUUUACUUAAUUUUAUUCAUCUAAACACUGGUAUAAGAUAUGACAUGAAGAGAUAACUUAUUGUACAACAUGUUUUUUUUUCUAAAUAACUUAGAACACGUAAGAUAAGACGGUCUUAUCGACAAUCCUACCUGCCCUAAGAUGCUUUUCUCUCUUUGCUUUUUUUUUCCAUGUAAUAGGACAGUCCUUAAAAACCGGAUAAGGUAAACCAAAAAAAAUUCUUAUUUUUGAGAGAUCGGCAAACAAAAAUGUAGCGCAUGAGAUGAGCCAAUUUCAGCCAAAACUGAGGGCGGGAGCUCGGAAUCGAGCGCGCAUAAAUG